rnacentral:rRNA from 1 species
ACACGGAGGAUCCGAGCGUUAUCCGGAUUUAUUGGGUUUAAAGGGUGCGCAGGCGGCCAUUUAAGUCAGCGGUUAAAUCGUGGGGCUCAACCCCAUUCUGCCGUUGAUACUGGGUGGCUUGAUUGCGGUCGAGGUUGGCGGAAUUCGUUGUGUAGCGGUGAAAUGCAUAGAUAUGACGAAGAACACCGAUUGCGUAGGCAGCUGACCAGACCGCAAAUGACGCUCAUGCACGAAAGUGCGGGGAUCGAACAGGAUUAGAUACCCUGGUAGUCCGCACAGUAAACGAUGAAUACUUGUUUUCGGCGAUAUAAUGUCGGAGGCAAAGCGAAAGCGAUAAGUAUUCCACCUGGGGAGUACGCCGGCAACGGUGAAACUCAAAUGAAUUGACGGGG